CCUACGGGUGGCAGCAGUGGGGAAUAUUGCACAAUGGGGAAACCCUGAUGCAGCGACGCCGCGUGAGUGAAGAAGUAUUUCGGUAUGUAAAGCUCUAUCAGCAGGGAAGAAAAUGACGGUACCUGAUUAAGAAGCCCCGGCUAAAUACGUGCCAGAAGCCGCGGUAAUACGGAGGGGGCAAGCGUUAUCCGGAUUUACGGGGUGGAAAGGGAGCGUAGACGGCAGCACAAGUCUGGAGUGAAAUGCCGGGGCUUAACCCCGGAACUGCUUUGGAAAAUGUGCAGCUAGAGUGCAGGAGAGGUAAGUGGAAUUCCUAGUGUAGCGGUGAAAUGCGUAGAUAUUAGGAGGAACACCAGUGGCGAAGGCGGCUUACUGGACUGUAACUGACGUUGAGGCUCGAAAGCGUGGGGAGCAAACAGGAUUAGAUACCCUUGUAGUC
rnacentral:rRNA from 1 species